rnacentral:rRNA from 1 species
CCUACGGGAGGCUGCAGUGGGGAAUAUUGGGCAAUGGGCGCAAGCCUGACCCAGCAACGCCGCGUGAAGGAGGAAGGCUUUCGGGUUGUAAACUUCUUUUAAGAGGGAAGAGCAGAAGACGUUCCCUCUUGAUUAAGCCACGGCUAACUACGUGCCAGCAGCCGCGGUAAUACGUAGGUGGCAAGCGUUGUCCGGAUUUACUGGGGGUAAAGGGCGUGCAGCCGGGAAGACAAGUCAGAUGUGAAAUCCCGCGGCUCAACCGCGGAACUGCAUUUGAAACUGUUUUUCUUGAGUACCGGAGAGGUCAGCGGAAUUCCUUGUGUAGCGGUGAAAUGCGUAGAUAUAAGGAAGAACACCAGUGGCGAAGGCGGAUGACUGGACGGCAACUGACGGUGAGGCGCGAAAGCGUGGGGAGCAAACAGGAUUAGAUACCCUAGUAGUC